AGUAGGCAGGUGAUGUUCCAACCAGAAGCAGAUGGCAUGAUCCAAAACAGUGGUGGUGGUCAGGUUCCACUGCAGGCAGGGAUCCAAGAGGCAGAGGCAGAUGGUGUGAUCUAAGAAGGGCUGGUGGUCAGGUUCCAGAAUGGGCAAUCAGGGAAAGGCAGAUUGUAUGGUCGAAGAUGGGCCGAUGGUCAAGCUCCAGAGCAGGCAGGAAUAAACUGGAAGAUUCCUGGUUUGGUUUUGGUUUUGUUUUAUUCCAACAUCUGCUGUUGAAGAACAAGUGCCCAGGUGGAAUUGUGAAGAAAUAACUUGGGAUAUUUUCACUUAUCUAUGGCAUGGCGUGUACAGAAUUUAGCCCAGGUCAUCUAUAACCUUUAGAAAGGGAGAAAAGUGAUUCUUAAAAGUGGAAGAAAUGAGAACAGUCACGUCCUUGAAAUGGUUUGGUUUUCGUAAGAGAAAUAGGCAAUGUUUCUAAUGUUCAUGUAUGACUGUAACAAUUCCAUUGUGGCAAAUUUCAAAUGUUUGGCUAGAAACUUGGUUAGGAUUAUGCUAGACUUUUGGUGGGCUGUCUGGAACGUGCAUAAAAAAAUCAAUGCAAAAGACUGCUAGAGUUGUUUCCAUAGGAACAGAUAUGGACGUCUCUCCUCUUAUGACUUAUUCAUCCAGUUGAUUGCAUUGUUUAUUCUGACCUUACGUUGUUAUAAAAUGCCAUUUGAAAAAUCUA